CUCCAUGUGUAGCGGUGGAAUGCGUAGAUAUAUGGAAGAACACCAGUGGCGAAGGCGGCUGUCUGGUCUGCAACUGACGCUGAGGCUCGAAAGCAUGGGUAGCGAACAGGAUUAGAUACCCUGGUAGUCCAUGCCGUAAACGAUGAGUGCUAGGUGUUGGAGGGUUUCCGCCCUUCAGUGCCGGAGCUAACGCAUUAAGCACUCCGCCUGGGGAGUACGACCGCAAGGUUGAAACUCAAAGGAAUUGAUGGGGGCCCGCACAAGCGGUGGAGCAUGUGGUUUAAUUCGAAGCUACGCGAAGAACCUUACCAGGUCUUGACAUCUUGCGCUAACCUAAGAGAUUAGGCGUUCCCUUCGGGGACGCAAUGAC
rnacentral:rRNA from 1 species